GAUGAACGCUGGCGGCGUGCUUAACACAUGCAAGUCGAACGGAAAGGCCCAAGCUUGCUUGGGUACUCGAGUGGCGAACGGGUGAGUAACACGUGGGUGAUCUGCCCUUCACUUCGGGAUAAGCCUGGGAAACUGGGUCUAAUACUGGAUAGGACCACUUCUUGGAUGUUGUGGUGGAAAGUUUUUUCGGUGUGGGAUGAGCUCGCGGCCUAUCAGCUUGUUGGUGGGGUAAUGGCCUACCAAGGCGUCGACGGGUAGCCGGACUGCGAGGGUGUACCGCCACCUUGGGACCGAGAUACGGCCCCGACUCCUACGGGAGGGCGAUGGGGGGAAGAUUGAACGAGGGGCGCCAGCCUGAUGAAGAGACGCCGCGGGGGGGAUGACGGCCUUCGGGUUGUAAACUCCUUUCGCUAGGGACGAAGCGUUUUGUGACGGUACCUGGAGAAGAAGCACCGGCUAACUACGUG
rnacentral:rRNA from 1 species